rnacentral:rRNA from 1 species
GAUCCUGGCUCAGGACGAACGCUGGCGGCGUGCCUAACACAUGCAAGUCGAGCGGAGACAGUGAGUAGCUUGCUAUGAGCUGUUUUAGCGGCGGACGGGUGAGUAACGCGUGAGCAACCUUUCCCAGACAGGGGAAUAACACACCGAAAGGUGUACUAAUACCGCAUAACGACCGAACGGAAUCACAGUUGGUUCUGGAAGGUAAAAGUAUUUAGUUCGGGUUUGGGGUGGCUCGCGUCGAUUAGGUAGUUGGUGAGGUACCG